rnacentral:rRNA from 1 species
GACGAACGCUGGCGGCGUGCUUAACACAUGCAAGUCGAACGGAAAUGCCCUGCUUUUGUGGGGUGCUCGAGUUGCGAACUGGUGAGUAACACGUGAGUAACCUGCCCUUGACUUUGGGAUAACUUCAUGAAACUUGGGCUAAUACCGGAUAGGAGCUCCUGCUUCUUGGUGGGGGUUGGAAAGUUUCGGCGGUUGGGGAUGGACUCGCGGCUCAUCAGCUUGUUGGUGGGGUAGUGGCUUACCAAGGCUUUGACGGGUAGCCGGUCUGAGAGGGUGACCGGCCAAAUUGGGACUGAGAUACGGCACAGACUCAUACGGGAGGCAGCAGUGGGGAAUAGUGCACAAUGGGCGGAAGCAUGAUGCAGCAACGCCGCGUGCGGGAUAAGGGCCUUCGGGUUGUAAACCGCUUUCGCCUGUGACGAAGCGUGAGUGACGGUAAUGGGUAAAGAAGCACCGGCUAACUACGUG